GGAGGUAGUGACAAUAAAUAACAAUGCCGGGCCUUUCUAGGUCUGGCAAUUGGAAUGAGAACAAUUUAAAUCCCUUAUCGAGGAUCAAUUGGAGGGCAAGUCUGGUGCCAGCAGCCGCGGUAAUUCCAGCUCCAAUAGCGUAUAUUAAAGUUGUUGCGGUUAAAAAGCUCGUAGUUGGAUUUCUGCUGAGGAUGACCGGUCCGCCCUGUGGGUGUGCAUCUGGCUCAGCCUUGGCAUCUUCCUGAAGAACGUAGCUGCACUUGACUGUGUGGUGCGGUAUUUAGGACAUUUACUUUGAGGAAAUUAGAGUGUUUCAAGCAAGCGCACGCUUUGAAUACAUUAGCAUGGAAUAAUAAGAUAGGACCUCGGUUCUAUUUUGUUGGUUUCUAGAGCUGAGGUAAUGAUUGAUAGGGAUAGUUGGGGGCAUUCGUAUUUAACUGUCAGAGGUGAAAUUCCUGGAUUUGUUAAAGACGGACUACUGCGAAAGCAUUUGCCAAGGAUGUUUUCAUUGAUCAAGAACGAAAGUUAGGGGAUCGGAGACGAUCAGAUACCGUCCUAGUCUUAACCAUAAACUAUGCCGACUAGAGAUUGGAGGUCGUUACUUUUACGACUCCUUCAGCACCUUAUGAGAAAUCAAAGUCUUUGGGUUCCGGGGGGAGUAUGGUCGCAAGGCUGAAAUCCAUAUGACUA
rnacentral:rRNA from 1 species